rnacentral:rRNA from 1 species
AUGUUCAUGAAACCUGACAACCUGAACUUCAAAAGGAGUAUGUGGAUUCUCAACGGGAGGAGCUCCGUUCGUCGUCUGCCAACAAGGUGGAUGAAGUUAACCGAAGUUCAAAUAUUGUGUCAGACAAGGUUCUUCUACUUAGUGCAUUACAGUAAAAAAAGUAGCCAAAAUGCAAAAUGGGAGGACUCCUGUAACAUUUUUACUAGAGCAUAUGAACGAACAUGUAGACAUUCAACUGUAACAUCACAUUUCUAUUGGAAAAUACAUUCAAUCAAAAACAAAUUUGGCAAAUUACUCCCAAAAGCACCAGAAAUCAUGAAAAAUUAA